rnacentral:rRNA from 1 species
CAAACGACUCUCGGCAACGGAUAUCUCGGCUCACGCAUCGAUGAAGAACGUAGCAAAAUGCGAUACUUGGUGUGAAUUGCAGAAUCCCGUGAACCAUCGAGUUUUUGAACGCAAGUUGCGCCCGAAGCCAUCUGGUUGAGGGCACGCCUGC